GUCCCUGUAUCGCAAUGGCUAGCGCGUUGGACUUGUAAUCCAAGAUCGUAAGUUCGAAUCUUACUUGGGAUA